rnacentral:snRNA from 1 species
AGAAUACAUGAGAUGAUCACAAAGGUGAUUUUCCCAGGGUGAGGCUUAUCUAUUGCACUCCGGAUGUGCUGACCCCUGUGAUUUCCCCAAAUGUGGGAAACCCGACUGUGUAAUUUGUGGUAGUGGGGGACUGCGUUCGUGCUUUCCCCUG